AUUUUAACAUCGGCUGGCUUUCCAGGUGUGUGCAGGGUGAUGAUUAGCUCUACCUGCCACCCAUCACAGAACUCAGAGUUUCACCACUUCCUUCUCCAUUUUCUUUAGCUGUCAGCAUAUAGUUAAUGGGCAACAACAAAGCUCUCCAUCCAGUUCUGGGAAAUAAUAAUCAUGGUUAAUAGUUAUUGAGAACUGAUGAUUUCGUUUCUUCUUCAUACCAACGCUUGGGGUAGGCACCAUUUUAAAAGCGAUUGGAGACAGGUUAAACAACUUGCCCUCAAUCAACGGUUGGGAAGUGAAAGAACCAAGCUUCAAAUCCAGGUCUGUCUGGGUCUUGAGCCAAGCUCGAAGUCUGUGUCACAUUGCCCAGGACUCGGCUGCCAAUUCUCCCCACCUCCUCGUCCCUCACUGCUGCAUCAGCAAAUCCAGGGCUCAUGGCAGGAAGAGCAGAGAAGAGCAAAGAUGAAAACUCCUCGAAGUCACAUCUAUCCAUCCUUGCCUGGCACAGAGGAGAUGCUUCAUUUGGAUGUGUUGCUGGAGGGGAGAGGUGCAAGCAGUAUGCCAUGGGCACUCAGAGAAAGAGACUAUCUUUAUUCCUGUAAGCUUCAACUAGGGAGCUUCAAUGUUGCGCAAAUGACAGCAGAGAGAGUCAUCAGGCUUGUCUGUCUUCCCACAUCAGUGCCUUCACCUUGCAAUUUGGCUGAAAUCGUUUCUAUCCAGGAGGAGAACAGAGAGAGAAAAUGGCGGAAGUAUUUCCAAUUUUGAGAUCAUAGACCAAGCUAUAGAUAUCUGCUCUAACUGGAAAUUUGAAGAAAUAAAUUCUGCAUGUUGUUCAGUAGAGGUAAUAUGAAAAACAGCUUUGUUGAUUUUCCUAGGAAGGCUUUCUACAUAGCCUCUCUGAGACCUGCCUGCCUGAGGGAUUCAUCUUCAUGACUUGAUUUACCGUGUUCCAGGGUUUGUAUGAGGCUGGAGGGAUAAUUUACCAGUCUAGGUGGCUUUGACUUUUAUCCAGGUGAU
rnacentral:lncRNA from 1 species